rnacentral:rRNA from 1 species
UACGAAGGGUGCAAGCGUUACUCGGAAUUACUGGGCGUAAAGCGUGCGUAGGGGGUUGUUUAAGUCUGUUGUGAAAGCCCUGGGCUCAACCUGGGAAUUGCAGUGGAUACUGGGCGACUAGAGUGUGGUAGAGGGUAGUGGAAUUCCCGGUGUAGCAGUGAAAUGCGUAGAGAUCGGGAGGAACAUCCAUGGCGAAGGCAGCUACCUGGACCAACACUGACACUGAGGCACGAAAGCGUGGGGAGCAAACAGG